CACACAAGCAGAAUGUACUACUUGCUCAAAACAUUGAAUCAAUGAUUAACAGCCUUUUAAAACAGAGAUCACCAGGCCCAGACGGGGUUGCUGGUGAAUUCUAGCAAGCAUUUAGGGAAGAAAUGGUGUAAAUUUUCUACAAUUUUUACAGAAAAUAGAAGCAGAGGAAACAUUUUGUAAUCCACUCUAUAAGAAAACUCCAUAUGCUUUCCUCUAUGAGGGAUUAGCUAAUAUGUAAGACCAAUUUUCUUGUCAAGAACAAGUAGCAAAGCUGAAAAAAGAGAAACAAAACUGUAUGUUUGAAGGCAUAAGAGAGUGACCAGGACUAGAGCACUAGAGAAGCCAACAUUCUGGUAGAUGAAAGAGUCAACUGAUAAAAAGGACCCUCUCCUUCUCCGUCUUACACUAUAAUUUUUGAAUUUUUAACAGCAUUAAUAAAAUUACUUAUUAGUGUUUUCUAUAUUUAAUAAUUCCAAACUAUUUCAAUAUUAUACACUUUAUAUUUCUAGAAAUAGUUCUCAGUUUGUUUGGUUUUUUUUUGAGACGGAGUCACACUGUCGCCCAGGCUGGAGUGCAGUGGCACCAUCUUGGCUUACUGCAAGCUCCACCUGCCGGGUUCACACCAUUCUCCUGCUUCAGCCUCCCAAGUAGCUGGGACUAUAGGUGCCUGCCACCGUGCCUGGCUAAUUUUUUUUAUAUUUAGUGGAGACGGGGUUUCACCGUGUUAGCCAGGAUGGUCUCGAUCUCCUGACCUCGUGAUCCACUUGCCUCGUCCCCCCAAAAGUGCUAGGAUUACAGGCAUGAGCCACCAUGCCCAGCCAAUAGUUCUCAAAAUUUUUAUACUUGUGUCCUUAAAUGUAAGUGUUGACAGAAGUAUUUACAAAGCUAAAAUCUGACUGUGGCAAACACAUUGCAAAUAUACCUCCAAGUAAUAGAAAUUUAAAUUUGACUGAGUGGGUGUAUAAUCUUUUUACAUACUGGCCUCAUGUGAAAAAUAUCUGGUCAGAGAUAAAGUUUCUUCGUCAGAUAAAUUAGAAAUUUGGGCCAAGAAAUCGUGUCUAAAUCCUCACUGAAUACAAGCUUGUACCUUUCCUCAUUGGCUUCAUGUAGAACUGUUCUACCGUGUAGAGAAGACAGGACUAACCGGCUGUCAAAGAGGGAUGAAAACUCAUUCUUGUUGAUACCAAGUAUCCGUUGUGAAUGAAGCUGAUGACACUUUUUUGAUGCAAUGAAUUUUCCAAAUGUUCCUUACCAAAAUCUUGUAUGUUCAAAGAAAAAUAUUUAUGCAGACAACUUUACAGUAAUGUUUUCAAAAGCCUGAUAAAGCUAUACUAACAUGAUGCCUCAAUUGGUUUAUGAUUUGCUUUUAUAAUUAUGGCAUUUUGAUUUUUCUAUUUGCUGAAAAAAACGCACAUAGGAAAAAUGUAUACAAGAUGUUUUGUUCUGAGCCUUGGAAGGGUUCUUUAAAAUUGUACACCUUUCUGAGUAUGUUUUAUUACAUGAUGUAACUCAAUUUGACAUGUAACAGUAACAGAAUGUCAGGCUGAGAGUAUUUUGAAAAGAACCACUCUUGUUCGAAAGGCCAACAAUUCUAGAAGUUGAAAAUAUAAGAUUUGUAUUCUCAAAUUUAUAACAAAAUAAUACAACUCAAUGUUUGUGGUAUAUUAGGUAUUAGUAAUAAAUCAUUGCCUCUUUAUUGUGUGAGAAAGAGUAUCCUUAGAGAAGGCUAACAUUGCUUUUUAACUAAUUACACAUGUAUUUUGAGAUGAUAUCCAGUAUACUUAAGUGUUGUGAUUAUAACGACUUUUUUUUUCUCCUAAUAGGGUCUUCCAUCCAAACUGAAGGUUUGUCAUUUUAUUAAGUACACACUAGACAUAUGUCUGCAUAGUGAAACAUAUAGAAGUAAAGAGUUAGCUGUACUGGGCCAUAAUUAGAAACUCCUUCUUGACAAAUAAACAUCAUUUUGCUACCAAGCUCGGUCUUCUAGUAGAGUAAUAACCAGCUUGUAGAACAGAACAGUUGGGCUGGAAUGGACUUGAGCAAAUAUUUAAUAUGAUUCUUCAUUUCACAGAAUACUAUAACCAGAGAAAUUGACACUCAUUCAAAUUUUUAAUAUUAGUGUGUGAGAAAAAAUGAAAUCUGUAUUUUGGACACCCACAAAUCUAUGUGCUGUACACCACACAUAUUCAAGCAGGUCAGUGAUAUUUCUACUGAAGCAAAAAGAUGCCAGUGAGAGUGAAAAAGCAAAUUAGUCCCACGCAUCAAGGCAACAGUUUCAUUUUUAGGAUAAAUAAUGUAUACCUGAAAAAUGAGCUAAAGUUAUAAUGAGAAAAGACCUGAGCUUACAAUCAAAAGUCUAAAAGGCAUAUUCAUAUGCAGCUGUUACUCCAUUUUUUACUUCAAACAAGUCGCUUUAUGAACCUGAAUCUGUUUCUUUUCUGCCUACCUUCCUUUAUAAAGUUACAAUAAUUAAAUAAGAUUAUGUUUUUUGAAGCUCCUUGAAAUCUGUUGAGUGCUGAAAAAUGUAAGACAUUGUAAAUGGUAUUCAGCAUUCCUAAAGUCAUGUAUAUCUGAUUUGGCAAAUGUGAACUCAAAAUAUUUAUGUAUUAAAAAUUAUAUUGAUGAAAUUGUAUUUAAUACAUUUUAUGUGUUUCUAAAGUUUUAUUUUCUUUUUCAGUCCCAUUAAAAACUCUAACACUGACAGCACAUAGCAGGCUUAUGAAAUAUUUUUCUUAAAUUGGAUAACAUAUUAAUAGUAUAUUCAUAUAUUUAAAUAAAAUUAAACACUUUUAUAUUUAUAGUAUCAAUUUGGGGCAGAAAAGUAAAACAAACUCUAUAGCAUGAAGAAAGAAGUAAAAAAGUCUGGAAAGCUCAUUUUAGACUCCCAAAGGGAUUAACAGUAGGUACUAGAUAGAUGUGAAAAAUUGUGUACUGGUAUUUAUUUAUCUCUAUACAAUGUAUACCAUCUAAAACCCAAUGUGCCUACAUUCUAACAGUUAUACUUUUUGUCUUUGGAAAACUACUUAUCAUUGAAACUUAAACAUAUACAAAUACAGUAAUAAUAAUAAAACUUUGAAAUUAUAAAAGUACAUGGAAAGUAGUGUCACUAAAGUUUAGAAAAAUAAUAUGACACUUCGUUUAAAAAUACACUGCUCAAAUAAAAAUAAUUUUAUUUAAUGUAUUUUUCUGUGGAAAAUUGUUUAGUUAAUUUGCUUCUGCAUUCAAUAAGCCUAUUGAUAUUCAUCAGAUAUUUAGUAAUCAGCUCUAUGCUCCCUGACAUCCAUGAUUUCGGUCAGUUUUUGUGAAAUGUGUCAAGCUAUAAAUUUACAAUACAUUGUGUGGAGGUUGAAUUUUUCCCAAGAAAUAAUAUGAAAACUUUUAUACAUUUCUGUUUUACUUAUAAAAUAUUAAACAAUAAUAUCUCAGAAUAUAUCAUGUAAAGUUACUAAUAUUAAAAUUCACAAAAACUUGAAUUAUAUUGUGUUAUAUGUACAAGUAGCAAAGUGCCCACUCUAGGUGAGGGUUAAAAGAGAAUAAACCUGACAGGUGAACUUAAAAGUAUUGAAUAGUAGUGUGCGCUCAUUUACAUGGCAACCUCUGGGGAACUCCUUGGGGAAAAUUAUUUUUAACCAAAUCUGUAAUUGACAUGAGGACAUAUACAUAUGUUUUUGACAGAUUUGGAGGCCCAAAUGGAAAUCAAGUUGUAGGAAACUAAUUAGGUGUUUGAUAGAAUUCAUCAUAAAGAAAAAUAUCUGGCACAGAAGUCCAACUUAGCAUUAGAACAUACAUUUUAGAUGGAAUUGGUGAUUUUGAGAACUAGAAUCAGCCAAACCCAGUAACUCAGUGGGUAUACAGAUGUCUGGAGAAAAAGAGUAUGAUACAUUUGAAUGGAAAAGACUGUUCUGGUAAGCUCUGCAACAUGAAAAAAAAAUGUGCAAAAUUUAGGAGAAGAGACUACAAAAAUUCAGUGAUUUAGUAUCCUUCAAAUAUGGGGAAUAUUGGGAAAUAAACCUUUAUAAAUUUUAAAGAAUUGUGGCAAUUCAAAUUUGGACAAUAUUUGAAAAUAUAAAUAUGGUUUUAUUUGUAAAAAAAGUUUUCAUUUGUAAAUUAAAGGGGUACAAUAAAGGAUAAUUAUUUUCAAUAUGAAUUUUUUCAAUAUUGAAAUUAUUUACAGAAAUUGAAAAGCAAGAUAACUCUACAAUGUACCUAUAAUAUAUUUAUAAAAUAUGUAUGAUGUUAUAUAUGGGGUUUUACUUCUUCAUGAGGUGUUACAUUUUGAAGUAUCUUUUGUAUUUCUUUUCUUCGUUUUCUCUUUCCAUUCUCCUUCCACUCCUGUACCCCACAUCCUUUUCUGACGUUCAAAACAUCCUCAUUCAUCUCAAGAAAUGUAAGUUAUCAAAGCAUUACUGGUAGCCUUCAGGGUUUACCUGAGGAAAACUAGAUAGAAUAUACAGAGUCUUUGUAGAGAAUAAUAAAAUAUCACUAGACAUGACCUCUCUUGCUUGGUAGAGGAAGCAAUCUAAAGAAAAAGUAAGUGGAUAAACAUUAUUGAGAAACCAGUGGGACACAAAUAUUCGUUAAUUUUAUACAAAAUAUAAAUAAAAUGAACUUGGUUCAAAGCUAAUAUAUUAAGAAAUUAUUUCCUCAUUGACCAUUGGGAACUAAAAAUAGCACAAAAUCUCC
rnacentral:lncRNA from 1 species